UCAGGCACAGGGAGAUGAUGGGGUCUCAGGCUCAGCUGUUCUGCCUCCUGCUUCUCUGGGUCCCAGGUUCCAGAGGGGCCGUUGAGGUGACCCAGAAUCCAUCCUCCCUGGCUGUGUCUCUAGGAGAGAGGGUCACCCUGUCCUGCAGGGCCAGUCAGAGCAUUGGUAAUGCCUUAGACUGGUACCAACAUCCCCCAGGCAAGUCUCCCAGGCUCCUCAUUUACUGGGCCUCCAACCUACACUCUGGGGUCCCUGCCCGGUUCAGUGGCAGUGGCUCUGGGACAGAUUUCUCUCUUACCAUCAGCGGUGUGGAACCAGAGGACGUCGGACACUAUUACUGCCUGCAGAAGAAUAGCUAUCCUCUCACAGUGGUUCAGCUCUGAACAAAAACCUGCCCAGGCAGCUGCUGAGGGAGCCCCCACUGUCCCAGGGGCUCCUCCUUCCCCCACAGCUGGGGCAGCUUGUCU